GCGCCACCUCGUAGGCUAGGAAAUUUAUGGAGUGAAAGAGGAAGAAGAAAGGCUGAAGAAAGCGAGGGAACGUUACGACGAGGAUUUAUUCUCCAGCUGAAUAGACUGGAUAGUAUUAACACUGGAGAAAUCAAAGAAUGGAAUUCUGACUGUAAUUUUGCUCAGGUGAAAGAAUGCUUUGUUGAACAUGUCGAUCACAGCCUCAUGUUCUCAGACGUGUGCCUGGUAUGCAGACUGCAGUGAAUGAAGGUGAUCUGUAAUUAAAGAGCUCACAGCUCUUUCUGGAUCCACCUGUGAUUUGAGAGUUAUUGAAAACAGAUGGUUUGGAAAGGGGAGUGGGACAAAAGCUGUCAGGGAUGGUGACUUAAUAGGUGGAGAUAAAUGGAGAAGCAUAAAGAAGAGGGAUGUCUCAUGCCUGGACAAACUGG